rnacentral:rRNA from 1 species
GACGAACGCUGGCGGCGUGCUUAACACAUGCAAGUCGAACGGAAAGGCCCUGCUUUUGUGGGGUGCUCGAGUGGCGAACGGAUGAGUAACACGUGAGUAACCUGCCCUUGACUUUGGGAUAACUUCAGGAAACUGGGUCUAAUACCGGAUAGGAGCUCCUGCUGCAUGGUGGGGGUUGGAAAGUUUCGGCGGUUGGGGAUGGACUCGCGGCUUAUCAGCUUGUUGGUGGGGUAGUGGCUUACCAAGGCUUUGACGGGUAGCCGGCCUGAGAGGGUGACCGGCCACAUUGGGACUGAGAUACGGCCCAGACUCCUACGGGAGGCAGCAGUGGGGAAUAUUGCACAAUGGGCGGAAGCCUGAUGCAGCAACGCCGCGUGCGGGAUGACGGCCUUCGGGUUGUAAACCGCUUUCGCCUGUGACGAAGCGUGAGUGACGGUAAUGGGUAAAGAAGCACCGGCUAACUACGUG